GGCAGAGUAUAAUUAUUUUAUAAUUUUCGUUCAUGGGCCGUUUUAGACGUUUUGAAGAAAAAGAAUCUCAGCUUCUGUUAAUCCCCCUCAUUCUCAGUUGCCCUUCAUUGGCAUGUCACAGCAACAGACAGGGAAGCUCUGUGUCUGUCCCCAGCAUUUGCACUGGGUAUUUGCCUGAGGAGCCGGCUACUGCUAGUGAGAUGAGUGAGGAUUUGACGUUGGUAUAUGCUAGCACUGACCGACUUUGAAAAGUGAAGUCCCCUGUCAAGGUAGGUGUCUAGUUUAACAGUGUAAUUGCUGUGCAUAAACGAGGUGAUGGACAGCAGCUGCAAGACGUAACAAAAUUGCACAUUGUGUUAAAGCUGACACGGAGCAAAUUUACCUCUAGGAAUCAGAAAAUUAACUCUGGCGUGUGGUCCCAGUGAAGUUUUCCUCCCCGUAACAUCUUUACCAAAGGGUUUCAGGUUGAUUUUUUGGAUGUUAACUGAACUCCUUGUCUUUGCUGUGAAAGGGUCUGAGAUAGCCGUGUUGUAGCUGUGUACAGCAAGGCACGAGACCAUGGGAGGGCAGGGUCUAUCCAGCCGAGAGUGGGCACCUGUAGCACAGGCAUCUCCAUUUGAGCCAGAUAUCCUGGGAUCGCUGCAUAGUCGUGGAGAGCUAGCUGGCAGUAUUAACGGUAUGAUUUGCCUCAUCUGAUUGUGAUUGUGUUUGGUCACCUAAAUCAUGCUGUAAAUUCUAGGCUACGUAACCUAUCCUUUUGUAGGCUAAAGUGGCAGCCAGGCAGCUUGCUCAGAAGGAGAUACAGGGUAGACACCUGAAGUCGGACAAACACCCUCUGACUUGGCUGCAGUUGCACAGGUGAACCUGUAACAUGUUCACUGCCAAAACCCAGGUUUGCUGAAUGUACAAUCCCAUUGAUACCCGUUAGGUCCCCCAGCCUCACCAGAUCUCAUAUCUGACUGGUGGAUUACCCUCCUCUUUCUGUUUUUUAACCCUCUGUAAGAAUGCAGUUACACGUCUUCUGUGCGUUUUGCCUUACUGUUUGAUGAAGUGAUUGCAAUCUGAUGCUGCAGAUAUCUUUCUUUUCUUGCAAAUUGCUUUGCUAUAUGGGCAAAGUCUCCAGCGAUGUGAAUGUUAAUGAGCUAAAAAAAAAAAAAAAAACAAACUUGGCCUUGAUGGGAGCUAUUUAGAAUUGUAGACUCCCUGUAUUUAUGGCUUGGAAAACGUUAAAAAGAGAGGAAACAUAUUCUUGCUUAAGGUGUGCCGCUAACUUGGGCUCCAUCACUUCUGUCUGGUUGCCAUAGCGACCGUGCAAUGGCAUGGGAAUUCCUUUUAUGGCUGAUUUCCGAGUCCAACAUGGCCGGGAAGGAGCCUGCCGACCGGGUUUCCUAGCAACUUGUUCCUAUGCCGUGGUAACUAGGAAAUGCAGCCAGCGCUUUUUAAUAGCGCUCAUCAUUUUGAUCAUAUGUUCCACUCUGUCAACUUUUGUCUUUGUGGUAUGAAAUAAUUAGUACGGAGUAAGUCUACAGAAAGAUGCCUGUUUUCUUUUGGUUCUUUUCUCCUCCUCUCACUUUAUGAACGUUCAAUGCAGGAGCAUUCAUAGGAAGGCAAAGACAACAGUCCAUUUAUAUAAAGAAAAAGAAAUCAGAAUGUUCUAUUCAACAUGUGAGGCUGCAGAGUAAUAAAAGUGAUGCCAUCUGCCCAGUGUGGAAAGAGAGGCAUCCUGAGCUUCCCAGGUUUGUAGCCGAUCAGACGUCAGGUUUCAGGACAAGCCUCCUGAAAUGCAGGUGUUGAAAUGCAUUUUAAAUCAUUCUUUCAAUUCCUGCUCUGAUCCUACUUCCUUUUGUGAUUUUAUCUUCCCCAGACUUCAGAGGUUUUUUGAGAAUGACCUGGCCUGUGGAGGGGGAUGGGAAUUAGUAAGAGUUUAGGAAAUCAUUACGAAGAUGUAUGAUGAAAUUAAAAUGCAAAGUUGUAUUAAUUAUUUAUAUUGUAGUCAUGCCCUACCCGAGGUUGCCUGACAGGUCCCCCCCUGCUGAUAUGCAGCCCUGUGCAAAGGCAGAGUCCGUAUAGCCAAGGACAAACAGUCAGUGACCUUCAUUCAGAAAAAAGCAUCUCCUCAGGAAAUUGCUUGUGCGAGGAUUAGCUUCAAGCAUACAACCCCUCCUAUUUAAGCUGAUAGGACUCCUGCUAUGUUUAAAGUUAACUUUAACAAUUUUGUAUGAAGGGCUUGUCAAGGCUGGGAGCAACAGAUUGUAGCUGGGGUGUGUGUAUGUGUCCAUGUAGGUGUCUCUUACGAGUCCCCUGAAACGCGUGUUGCAGAGGUGGAGUCUGGUGGAGUUGCCCACCCACAGAUCUCGACCUGCAACGUUAUGCCCGCGUUCAGAGCAGAGGGAUGAGACUGAGCUGAAAUCACAGGGAAUUGCACUGAUUCGCUGGUUUUGAGCAACAUUGCAGAUUUUUCUCAUAUCUUCACAGAUCUUCUUAGCACUGGCCCUGGAGAGGAAGGAAGAAGGUGGUAUGUUAUUCCCAGCGGUUGCAACCUACCAGCCUCUUGUUUUUAAGCCGGCUCCUAAACACCCACUAGGAAGUUGAUUGCAUGCUGUUUACAGCCUCCUUUUAUAUGAAGUAACAUGUUCCUUGUCAUUAAUUAUGCAGACAGUGAGCGCAGAGGAUCUUGAAAAUCAUCAGGGCCUGUGUGUAGGACUUAUGUCGUGUAGUCUCUUAGACUAGUCUCCAAGAAGGUAGUUAAUCUCCUAUUGUGGUAGCUGUUUUUCCCCAUCCUCUAAGCAAGGAAAAUGAGCAGUGAAAACUUACUUGACUUAUUUCAUGUUACAGGGAAAUGUUAACUUCCUGUCUCUACUAACCUUUCUGUAAUAUAUUCCAGAAGACAACUUGGAGAAGCAUACAGAGUCUAUACUGCAGUUUGGAUUGCGAGACGUUAUUUGUCAAGGAGGUCAAAGGUAGUCGGUGAAGUGCUGGAUUUGACAUUGUGUCCAUCUUUUCUGGUUUGCUGGCUCUGGCACUAAUCAGUGCUCUUUAAGAAAAGCAAAACAAAGCACACCAAAACUGUUUAAUUUUUCAAGGGGAAAAUUCCUGCUAACCUUUGCUAGAAUUGUAGAAUUCUUGCAUCCUGAAUCUUGGGAUUGAUUUGCGUAUGCUCUUCUUGAAAUAGAUGCAAGUGUUCUUGUUGGUUACGCUGCUUUUAUCAGUUUUAUUUUUUUGAUAGCAGUAUGUAAGACUUCAUCUUUGCUGGAUACGGCAAAAUAGAUUCCCAGAUGAUUUAAUUUUAGCAGCACUGCACUGUCCUGAACUGGGCAGUACUGAUUUGUUAUACCAACUGCAAAUGUGGCCCUUCAUAUCUGGUAUCAAUUUUCUCUUAAAGAACAUAAUCACACCAGCCCACAGUGAUAUUUAGUAUUACUCAACCGUUGUAAAAAUGACAAACUUUACAUCAACACUAAAUUGACUGUGAUUAGUCACAUAUGUCAGUAUUAACAAAAGAUGACACUUACAAAUGUCCCAUGUGCUUUUAUUUCACAUUUUCUGUUAUGUUGUACUGUGCAUUUACUCUUCCUCUGGGAAUGUUUAUUGCCAGGGGAAGUACCACCUAUUUAGCAAACAGAUAGAUUGUGAACAUUGAUCUUUGUUGUUUUGAGAGAGUAGAUUUCAUUGCCUUCAAAAUAACUGACCAUCAUUAUUUUAAUUAGGUGCAUGUAUCCCAGCCUUCACUGAAGCAGAAAAGACUCUAAGUCUUUCUACGGAAGCUCUUACGCAGUUUCAAUCUCAUAUGUUGUCAGCUGUAACUGGUUCUUUUAAUCUGUUGUAGUAAAUGUCAGGUGAGGAACUGACAGUUCGGUAGGUAACCAUUUUCCAUUUAUCCACACUCUGUGUAAUACAUGAAUGGAUACUGACUGCCUGCGAAUGACCACUGCUGUCAAUCCAACUUAAAAUCUGUUCUGCUCUGUAUUUCUGGAGAGAUUCUGCCUGUAUAAUUUAUCUGUAGAUUAUAAAGGAUAGGGUGGCAGUGAAUUAAAGUCUACAUUAAAUUUAUUAGCUGUACUUUAAAUAUUUGAUCACAGAGAGGCUAAAGAUUCAAGUACCCAUGUGAUAUGCUAUGAUUACGCUUUACAAAUGGCCAAGGUACUUCUGCGGGGUGAGAUGAAAAAAUUUUCCUUAGGUUUGUGAGAAGAUUGUAACUAUAUAUAUCUCUCUUGUAUUUCAAGCCUAAAUAUUGUACAUUAUUUACAAUCUAGGAAAGGAAUGUGCGACUCCAGAUAACAGAGGGACAAAAAAGGAUUAAGAUCACCUCAUUGGUAAACAUCCGCGAUAGCUGGCGGGAGGCAUAAACAGAAGCUGUACAGGGGCCAGGGCAGUGCUACUUGUUUCAUAGACAGAGGAGAUAUGGAGACAGUACAGUACAUAAGUUUAAAUGUGUACCUGCCUGUAUGCCUCUUCCUUCCUAUGUGACCUGGAGCAGUACGUACUGUAGGAUGAGAUGGAGCAUGUUUAGGCUAUUAUAACAUGGAAGAUAUGGCUUUGUGGGUUGCUGUUGUGGUGUUUUGAACUGCUCAGCUACCUUCAGCUUUCGUUCACAGACUGACUCUUUUAACGCUUUAUUCCCUUUUUUUGCUCUCCUUCCUGUACAUGUAUGGAGAGACAAAGCAAAAAAAAAGGGAUGCGCAAAUGCAUUCUGUGUAAAACUCGUCAUGCCUUUAUUUACUGUAGUACUGUCACCAUAUUUAUGAAAUGAGCUUAAUGCUGCUUCAGGUAGAAUGAGGCCUAAUAAUUGUAUAUAUGCAUCAACAAGGGCUAUAUUCUUUGUCGUUCCUCUGCCUUUUUUCUCACUGAAUAGUAAGAACAGGAUUUUGAGAAGUAUUCCAAACAUUUGGUAAACUCAAGACUCCAGGAGUUUGGUUUUUUAAAAAUAUUUGUUCAUGAGUGUCACAGAUUUGCCAGGUUAUGAGCACUUCUAAAAAUCUGUCCCGAGCUUACUGCGUGAAUUAGGCCAUUGAGUUAAAUUCAUCUCCCUGUAAGCUAACAGACUACCCAGUAUGACUGAGAAUGGUGGAAUCGAUCCUGGUAAGACAUACUCAUUUGACUAAAUUAUAUUUACAGUCUGUGCUCCCUGUAUGUGAUGGUCAUCCCCCUGUGAGUCAUCUGAAUGCAUUCCAGGAUAUGUGGGAAUCUCUUCGUGGCAGAAUGUUGAUUUAAUGAAUUUUGAGCAAGAGAACUGCAACAUCAAAAGCAAAGACACACAGGGAGUAAGUGACUGGAAACAAGAGCCCUCCAUCUAAAAAACCAGGACAAAUAUUUCUCUGCUGUUUUGUUAAAGGAUUCUUUUUCUUCUCAGACAUGAAGAAAUCCCUAUAAGACAAACAUGCUAGCAGCUACUAUCCAUGUUAGCUCCUGUUUGUGCUCAGCAUGUCAAGAAAGGAAAAAAAAAAAAAAAAAAAGACUCACUGUUUUGCAAGGACGCUGCUUCCUCUGCAGAUAUUUACAGGUUGUUUUUUUUUAGCAAAACUUACAGUUUACAAACUGCCCACUGCAUUUCCAUUUUUGUUGCAGGUUCUAUUGUUACUGCAUAAUGCAGAAAUAUCGGAGUGCUACCUUUUGUUUUCAUAUAAUCACCUAGGUUCUGUACAUACCGCUCAACUAAGAAGAAAAAUACAUUGUUAUCUACUCUAUUGCAUAAUUAUGUUUUCUGAUUUUUAACAGGAUUUCAUAACGUAGAUGAUAAAAUCCAUAUAUCUAUAUGUUGAUAAGGCUUGUAUUCUUCAACCCUAUUGCUCCGUUGAGACAACUUGUACCUGGAAGAUGUGGAAAUGUGUUAUCAACCCAUUAGCGUUUCACAGAUGAAACUUGCAGCAUGUUGCAAAGGCAGCCAAGAAGGAACUUUAAUGGCUCUCCUGGAAAUUUUUCAAAAGCCGCUCCCAUUGACUGCAUUGGACAUUAUAUAAGGUCCUAAAAGCCAAAAGCAAUUUCCAGGGAGGCAUAAGUUGCAGGCCUAGGCUGCAGGCAUCGCGUUUGAACCAGGAGGAAGAAAUAACUAUUUCAUGCAUCGGUGCAAAGAACAAUAGAUGAUGCCAUAUCUGAAAGGACGAAGUCCAAGUCCAAGGACUGGGGUGAAAGAGGAGAUACAUUCACCCACUGUGAUCCAAGCUUAAUUCUAGAAAUGUGGUAGCUGCGCAUCUGCUCUGCUAACAAAUGCACAUAAAAACCAAAACAAAGAUACCUCCACUUUCAUUCACAUUUUCUAGGUAGGAUUCUUUCUAUUGUAAUUAAAUUUAUUUUUUGUACAAGCUAUUUUCUUGACUCACAGCUGAAGAUUACCUUGUUGGUUAAUGUAUUUGGUCAUUAAUUUGGCACUGUGGGCAGAUGUGAUGUAAAGCUCUUAACCUUUCUGGGGUUAGAUGGAGGCAAGUAUCCUGCACCCAGAGGUUUAACAAGGCAUCCCUAGGGUGUGUAGAUAACUUGUAAUUAAUUUAAUUAAAGGGAGCACUUUGUACUGGGACUAAAAAGAUUCUUUUGUUGAGUAAGACCUUAAUAUUAGUUUUCUUCAAAGGGAAACAUCCAGAUAAAACCAAAAUCCUGUUUACCAUGUACUUUUUGGUGUCAGCAGUAACUUUGAUUUUUAAAGUCUCGACGAUGAAACCCAAUGUCUGACGCUCCUAUAUAGAUUUCAUUCACUGUGGACCAUAAAGCAGGGCUGAUAACACCGAUCAGAUGUUAGCGCUAGCUGCAUCGCGUAUUUCUUAAGCUAUUCAGGCAACCUAA